rnacentral:rRNA from 1 species
UGGAGAAAAGCGGAACUAUUCUUUUUGCUUUUUUAGCUUUUUAUUUUCUUAAAUAGAGGGGUUUUAUUUUUAUUUGUUAGAUAUUAGGGGGUUUAUUUAAAAAUCCUUUGGUUUUGGGGAACUAGAAAUAUACGUGUUCUUCUUAUAUAUGCUAGUAAAUAACAAUUAAAGAGGGCAGAAAAUGUGCAAACAGGUGAGGAAACCCGGGAGCUAAGUUUUGGGGCGGGGCUGGAGUCGUAUUAGGUUGAAGGUGGUAUAAAAGACCACCUUGCCGAGGAUGCGUGGCUUUAAACUCGAAGCCAUCUUUUCACUGAGGCAAGGGGAGGCCGCAAAAGGGGGUGGAAAGCCCCCGGGGCAGCAGUAUAGAACUUUGUGCAAUGCACGAAAGUGCGAUACAGAAGGGGCGUAUUAUCUAAUCUGUCUAAUUAAGUGCCAGCAGACGCGGUGAAACUUAAGGAUUAGUAUUAUAAGAAAAGGCGUAAAGGGUGUGAAAGAGAUCUCCCGUAAGAGGGUAAAUGGAAUUUUUCUGUAGGGGUGGUAUGUGUAGAUAGAAAAAAGAACUCUAAACGCGAAGGUAAUUUAUCUCAAGGGAGGGUGUGCCCACCACCCGAUUGAAACACGAAAGUAUGGGGAGCGAAUAGGAUUAGGGACCCUGGUAGUCCACACUGUAAAUAAUGAAGAAGAUGUGAGGCAAUUCUAAAAGGUAUAAAUUUUCCGCUUGAGUAGUACGAUCGCAAGAUUGAAAUUCAAAAAACUUGGCUGUUCACUGUUUUAAUUAGAGGAGCGUGUCGUUUAAUUCGAUAGUCCGCGAGAGACCUUACCCAAACUUGAAUUCGCCCUUUAACAGGUAUUGCAUGGCCGUCGUCAAUUUGUGUAUAAAACGUAAAACCGAUUGAACCCAGUGGAUUCGUUUAUUGGAUGAAGUCAGGUCUUAUUGUCCUAAUGUUUGGGGAUUAGAUGCGCUACAUUUUUUUAUACAAUGGGAGAUUUUGAAGGUGAAACCCUAAAGUAAGAGUUCGGGAGGUGGCUGGAAGAUGACUGAAAGUUGGAUUUGAUAGUAAUUAGAAAGUAGAGCGUUCUAGUGAGAUUGAUUCAGUGUUAGCACAAAUUGCCCGUCGCCUUGGCCUAGAAGGGUGGUUCGAAUGCCUUCUAUUAUGCGGGUGUUGUACAACUUUGAGGCGGAGUAAGUCGUAACAUAGUGAGGGUGAGGGAACUGGCCCUUG